rnacentral:rRNA from 1 species
UGGGGAAUAUUGGACAAUGGGCGCAAGCCUGAUCCAGCCAUGCCGCGUGAGUGAUGAAGGCCUUAGGGUUGUAAAGCUCUUUCGCCGACGAAGAUAAUGACGGUAGUCGGAGAAGAAGCCCCGGCUAACUUCGUGCCAGCAGCCGCGGUAAUACGAAGGGGGCUAGCGUUGUUCGGAAUCACUGGGCGUAAAGCGCACGUAGGCGGAUUGUUAAGUCAGGGGUGAAAGCCUGGAGCUCAACUCCAGAACUGCCCUUGAUACUGGCAAUCUCGAGUCCGGAAGAGGUAAGUGGAACUGCGAGUGUAGAGGUGAAAUUCGUAGAUAUUCGCAAGAACACCAGUGGCGAAGGCGGCUUACUGGUCCGGUACUGACGCUGAGGUGCGAAAAGCGUGGGGAGCAAAACAGGAUUAGAUACCCUGGUAGUCCACGCCGUAAACGAUGGAGGCUAGCCGUUGGCGAGCAUGCUCGUCAGUGGCGCAGCUAACGCAUUAAGCCUCCCGCCUGGGGGAGUACGGUCGCAAGAUU